CCCUUUUUUUGUCAGCUAUUUUAUUUACUGUCUUUGCGGUCACAUGCUUCUGUGAUUUAACCCUGCGAGUUUUGGGCAAGAGCACAGCGCAUUGCUCUGACUGCAGCAUCCAUGCUUUAUUUUCAGUUGAAGCAUCUCUCUGUCAGUCUAUUUGUUUCUUCUCUCCCCCCCCCCCCCCCCCCCUUUCCUUUUUGCUUUUCUUUUUUUAUUUUGUUUAUGUUCUUGACAUAUAGCACAUUCAGCCCAUUGCUGGCAGCAGAGGACCUCUUGUCCUGGUCACUACUAGAAAAGAGGGCACUGACCACAAGCCUCUUUCUGCACCACUACAGUUUGGUGUUACCCAUCCUGCUGUGCUUUUACAUAUCUUCAUUUCGCAUCUGACUUGAAUAUGUACUUACAAGGACGCACGGGCGAAGCAACUUCAGUGAAAACAGACUAACUGCACACAAGACUAUACUGACGGGCAAUACGACGGCCCCAGGGCCACUACAAUUUCAUGGAGACUUGAGGUUGGGACUUGUACAGGUCAUUUGGCAAACACUGGUAUUAGUGCAAGAGUCCCCAUUCCCCCUUUUUCUUGGAAAUAUUUCAAUCAUCGAAAGGGGCACGUAAGCCUGAGCAACUGAAAGAAAAAACAAAUGUUAAGUGAAAAUUUUGUGAACUAACGAUCUUCUGCACCUAAAGCCUUCAGUGGGAAGAAAUCGAAAACUUUCUUGCAAUUUAAAUUGUGACCAUCUCAAUCCACAGAAUGUUUAACGAUCAGGAAGUUCUGCUGACUUGAAAUAAUUCCAGAUGAUUGCGUCUCUCUGCCCUUUGACCCCACGAUACCACAGACUGACGUUGAUCAGAGACACGCGACGGAUAUUGGAUUCCUGUUGAGGACUUUUCUAGUGACUCUUUACUUUAAAAAACAAGAAAAAGGAAAAAAAAAAAGAUACACUCCCAUCCCCAAUAUUCCCAUGGGGCCAACGUGACCUCCAAAACAACAACAACAAAAAUACAAAAAACAAAAACAAACACAGAUGUGAUCAGUUUUAAUAAUUCUCUGCAUAACAUGGAAACCAUUUUUUGGGUUUUCAGGUCCUGAUUUUUGGGGUCCCCACAGGCAAAGUCUUUACCUUUUCUCCAUCCAUCAGGUUUACAAAGAAACCCAAUGUAGGUUAGUUUAUAUAGAUAGAUAUAUAUAUGCAUAUAUAUUUUAUUUUGUUUAAUGCAGCAUUUUUUGCUGUGUAAAUUAUUGCAUUAUUUCUUAAUGUUGACGUUCUCCUUCUCUCGUUGCCAGGUAAUGGGUGACAGGGCAGUGACCUGGCCAUAUGAGCUGAGUCACACAUGGGUAUACCAGUGGAACACAUGGCAACACAAAAUGCUUCAUUGAUUGGUUAAGAGGCUAAGAGAGAAAAAAAAAGGCUUUAUAAUCAUACAGUGUAAAUUUAUCUCCCUUUCAUACCGACGCUGACUGUCUGUGUGAGUUAAUUACAUUAAAGCACAAAAUACAGUCAUUAGGUUUGGCCCUACAUCUGUCUUUAGCUGUCUAAUGAGAAACGCCUCAUUGACUGGUACCUUUUAGUUGGACUUUUUUCCAGACAGCAGGCUUCAGUCCAUUUAAUUGAAAUGUUCUGAUGCCAGUAUAGUAUGCUAAAACAAUUACAAUACUUUUAUUUACUGUCCGAAUAGCUGUUAAAUGAGUCUUGCACCAGUACUACUCCCAUGGUUCUGUUCUAGUUGGCCAUAUGAUCAGAAGUGGCCCAGAAUAUUACAUUAGUUGUGAAUGUAUGUAGGUGAUGGUAAACUCAGUUUUUCGUGAUGUUCAUUUAGCUUUUAUGCUGGAUGAGGGUCAUGGGAAGUGUUCUCUAACUAUCUGGGUUACAGAGGGUCACUAUAGCUGCUGUAAUCAGCAGAGAGUGUACUCUGAUUUCCGUGGCUGGACAGGUUUAGAAAGCCGGGGGAGCAGCAAGUCCUUUCAUCUGUUUUGGGCAUUGCUGUUUCUCUGGUGGCCUGUGGCGUAUUUUAAGCUCACACUGACAGAGCAGCGCAUCAUAUUAACGGUACCACCACUUUGGUUGCAUUGUAUUUCACGGAAACCUAUUGACUUCCUGGAAGUCAUUUUUUUUAAUUUAUAAUUAUUGCUACGUUCUCGGUGGCAUUUACAUACUCGCAUCAGUUCCCGUGGACCUUAACCCCUUCCCUGCCCAAGUAAUGGUCACUCUAUGAGAACCAAUACAUGCUGAGCAAACCCUUGGUAAAUCCCUUUAAAUUCACUGAUCCCCCUUCCAACAUGAGCCGAGCGAAAUGUGCAGCUUUUAAUGCAACGUAAUUAGCAGCAUAGCAAUAAGGCACUCUGUGCAGGCCACAAGACUAAAGGAGUUCAUGGAAUCGCUCGCUCAGUGGUAUUUCCCAAGCCCUGCCAAGGAACCUUCACUUUCAUUUAUUUAAUUUUGUUGUGCCACAGACUUUGCUUGUGUUUUUUUUUUUUUUUUUUUUUGGAAACCUACACAAUGUUUAUCCUUCCAUGUAUUUUGUAUUUUACCUGCUACACUUGAGAAACACAGUAUCAGGAGCCAAAAACCUAAAAAAGGCCAAGCGCAUUACAACGGCAGAGAAAUCCGUCAGACUUAAUAUUCUCCUGAGCCCUGAACUCUGCACUACGGUGAGAACAAAGGAACAUUCAGACAUGAGCAAUCCUUUCUUUGACUGCACUUUUACGCUCUUUUGGACUGUACCUACAUUCUUUCAGUGGGUAACUUAGAACUUUUAAUUUUAAUUUUUUGUUUUGGGACAGAUGUUCAGUUGGACAUAAAACCUUCCAAAGUUACACUGCUAAACCUGUAAUCUGUGGUACAUAACCUUUUGCACAAAUGCAUAAAGCAGUUGCUGGUAAUCCUGACAUCACUGUAUUUCAGUGUGAUUUAAAGCCUAUGUCCGCUGGCUGCCACAGCACGCAAGAGUAAAAUGUGCUGUUUUAUUUUCAAUGUGUGAGCCGUUUUCCCAUAGAUGGAACGACUGGGCCCUAUUAUACCUUGUUCUAGAAUGGGUCGCUGUCCGCUUGAGAUCCUAUCGCUAGCUGCUUUAACGUUUUAAGUCGAAAUAUGCAGCUGGAUCAGUUCUGUACAAAUCAUAUUCCAAUUGGCUCUCUAGGCUGGAUCCCAUGCUGCUGAUUGCCUCCCAGAGGGGCUGUAGAGCAGGUAUUGUCCAUCUGAAACUCUCCUGCGCUACCUCCCAUGAUUCUCUGUCAGACGAUAGCUAGGAAGGGAUUAUGGGAGUUCUGGGUCGGUAAAGUUAUACUCAACAAAUGUUUUGAGGUAUACAUUUUAUUCAUAGCCAAAUCUAAUUGGGAUUCACAAACCUGCUACAUGUUGUCAAGAUCCGUAUAGUAUAAAGUUAUUAUUUUUUUUGUUUGGUUGUUUUUUUUUGGGUUUUUUUUGUUUUUAAUACCAUUACUUAUAUCAUAAAGCACUAAUGUUCAAUAGAAAGAUUUACAUUAGUUUCAUUGUUAGUUCUGACACCUUGAUUAUAAUAAGAGUUCUAGUAAUAAAAACGAUAGAAGGAAGCAGUGCAAUUUCUAGGAUUUAAAUUGAUUUGGUUGUUGCCUGUUGCCUUUGUAAAUCCUUUAAACAUGGCUGUUCUGUUCUCCGAGGGAAUAAUUCCACCCUUCGUGUGUCACAGCUUUAUCACAGAGAGGUUUAACAUUUACAGAUAUCCUCUGUAAACCCGAUUAUGUUAUAGCUGUAUCUUAAUGUAUAAUGAUUACGUGUGUAUAAAUCCUAAUCAUUUUUUCUUCUGUGCAUAAUCCCAACAAUAACUGCUACCUGUAAUUAUCGGUAAACCUUUACCCUCUUAUCUUCUUACCUGGAUAUUAAAACUGUCUUUUUCCAGAGCCCAGGAAAUUGAGAUGCACCUACUAUGGCAUUUGUAGCAUCUGACGGGCAAGUUAGUCGUCAUGACAAGUAGCACUCAGUAUUGCAUUAGUGGCAAACAUGAAGUAAAUCCUAAAAUAACUUUUUCUUCAAACUUGCCACAUGCAUUUAAAUGUAAAACUCCUAUAAUCCCUUGCCUGCAUAAAUCGGCCCCUCUCUGUUCUAUUGGCUUACAUUAAUAUGGAAUCCAAAUAGAUUUCUCAGCUGUGAUACCUACAAAGAGUUAAUGCUGGCUUGUAACAAGAAUUCGAAUCCCUGUCCACACCACUGUUACCCCACUAGUGCCAGGUUUAAUCUGUACUUUAUUUAGUUGUAAAGAGAAUCUAGGCACGAAGGUAAGUGGGGUACAAUUUAAUCUUUUUCUCGAGGAAAAAAAAAAAAAAAGCAUUUAAUUCCCAUGACAAGUAACCAUUAAACAGGUAACUUUGGAUGUAAAUGUGACUUUAUUUUCAAGAGGAAAAAGAAAACGUUUUAUUUGACUUCAAAGCACAUAAAACAUUUCUAGCGAUGACUUAGAUGCCAAGGAAAGCAGCCUUGAAAUAUUCUGCUCCCGGGCAGUGAUUGCAAAUUCAGCUAUUCGAGUGAAUAAAAAUCCGUUCCAUCAA